AGUAUAAUUAUUGGGUUAAAUGGUUACUAUACAUUUAAAUUUUUAAGGAACUGCCAGACUAUUUUUCUAAGCAGUUGUACCAUUUUAUAGUCUCACUAAGCAAU
rnacentral:pre_miRNA from 1 species